GAUGAACGCUGGCGGCGUGCUUAACACAUGCAAGUCGAACGGAGUUGAUUUAAGGAAGCAAGCUUGCUUGAAGAAUUGAAUUAACUUAGUGGCGGACGGGCGAGUAACACGUGAGCAACCUACCUCUUACAGGGGAAUAACAACGGGAAACCGUUGCUAAUACCGCAUGAUAUGUGCUGAAGGCAUCUUUGGCACAUCAAAAGAGCAAUCUGGUGGGAGAUGGGCUCGCGUCUGAUUAGCUAGUUGGUAAGGUAACGGCCUACCAAGGCGACGAUCAGUAGCCGGACUGAGAGGUCGAACGGCCGCAUUGGGACUGAGACACGGCCCAGACUCCUACGGGAGGCAGCAGUGGGGAAUAUUGGGCAAUGGGCGAAAGCCUGACCCAGCAACGCCGCGUGAAUGAUGAAGGCCUUCGGGUUGUAAAAUUCUUUGGACAGGGACGAAGAAAGUGACGUAC
rnacentral:rRNA from 1 species